AACGCUGGCGGCAGGCUUAACACAUGCAAGUCGAACGCGUGUAGCAAUACACGAGUGGCGCACGGGUGAGUAACGCGUGGAUAUCUGCCUUCUGGUUCGGAAUAACCCCGGGAAACUGGGGCUAAUACCGAAUGGUUCCUACGGGAUAAAGAUUUAUCGCCAGAAGAUGAGUCCGCGUCCGAUUAGCUAGUUGGCGGGGUAAUGGCCCACCAAGGCGACGAUCGGUAGCUGGUCUGAGAGGACGAUCAGCCACACUGGGACUGAGACACGGCCCAGACUCCUACGGGAGGCAGCAGUGGGGAAUAUUGGACAAUGGGGGCAACCCUGAUCCAGCCAUGCCGCGUGAGUGAUGAAGGCCUUCGGGUUGUAAAGCUCUUUUGGCGGGGACGAUGAUGACGGUACCCGCAGAAUAAGCCCCGGCUAACUUCGUGCCAGCAGCCGCGGUAAGACGAAGGGGGCUAGCGUUGUUCGGAAUUACUGGGCGUAAAGCGCGUGUAGGCGGUUGCCAAAGUCGGGUGUGAAAGCCUUGAGCUCAACUCAAGAAUUGCACUCGAUACUUGGUGACU
rnacentral:rRNA from 1 species